GCUGUGGCUCCUGGGUCCCUGUCACCCGUAGGCGGGGGUGGGGAGGGCAGGCGAAGGAUGGACUUUCUUCUAAGUCAAUUCUACAUCAGGACUGUGCCAACCGCGGCCCCCAGCCCCUCCAGCUGCUAAGCCGGCCUCAUCCCGCCUCGAGACUCGAGACUCCAUGCCAGGUGACCGCCUCUGUAUGUAAGCCAGCUCUCAUUCCUCACGGAAACGCCAUCUGGGGGGCGUGACCACACCCUGUGGCGACAGGAUGAGGCUUUUAGGUGUCCUCCCCCCCCCCAGCUGCCCCAGCUGCCCCAGCCGCCUGGAAGAAGGAUAACCAAGGAGGAGAACGUGGAGGAGGAGAAAAAGAGGACCCUGGCUAUGGGGUAACUGAUAGUUAAGUGCACGGAGCCUUGUAUCAGGCUCCUUGGCAGUUCCUGACACAUGUGAGCUGACCGCAAGAACCAGCCCCGCCACCAGAAAUCUAGAGGAAACCAUGGAAAAGGCUGGGAGCCCCUCUCUUGUGGAAGGUGGUGGUAUGCCAUGUUGGGAAACAGCUUCCGCAUAAAGAAUACUCAAAGGGCCCAGCAGUGGGGAAGGCAGUUAAGAGACUGGGCCCAGGUGGUCAGAGAAGACGUGGAUCUGGAACCUGGUUCUGGGACCUUGGAGCUGUGUGAGCUUGGGCAGAUCACUUCACCCCUUGAAGCCUCAGUUUCCCUACCUGUUAAAUGAAAAUAAUACCUACUUUGCAAGGUUGUUAUCACCA